rnacentral:rRNA from 1 species
AAUCAACGCUGGCGGCGUGCCUAACACAUGCAAGUCGAACGAGAAAGGGGAGCAAUCCCUGAGUACAGUGGCGACCGGGUGAGUAACACGUGACUACCUACCCUUGAGUGGGGGAGUAACUCGGGAACCGAGGCUAAUACCGCAUAAUAUCGCAAGAUCAAAGGAAGCAAUCCGCUCUUGGAGGGGGUCGGCGGCUGAUUAGCUAGUUGGUAGGGUAA